rnacentral:rRNA from 1 species
CAUUAGUGUAUAUCUAAAUUGUUGUGGUUAAAAAGCUCGUAGUUGAAUUUUUGCUUGCCGCCGAUGUCGGAACUUCCGUACGUUCGGCGGCGUGCGUCCUUGGGUGGAACCUGUGUGGCAUUAGGUUGUCGUGCAGGGGAUGCUCAUCGUUUACUGUGAAAAAAUUAGAGUGUUCAAAGCAGGCUUACGCCGUUGAAUAUAUUAGCAUGGAAUAAUAAGAUAGGACCUUGGUACUAUUUUGUUGGUUUGCGCACCGAGGUAAUGAUUAACAGGGACAGUUGGGGGUAUUCGUAUUCCAUUGUCAGAGGUGAAAUUCUUGGAUUUCUGGAAGACGAACUACUGCGAAAGCAUUUACCAAGGAUGUUUUCAUUAA